rnacentral:tRNA from 1 species
ACUUAAAUAGCUUAUGUAGAGUAAAACAUUGAAGAUGUUUGGGAGGUUGAAAGAAUCUUUAGGUA